AACGAACGCUGGCGGCAUGCCUAACACAUGCAAGUCGAACGAGACCUUCGGGUCUAGUGGCGCACGGGUGCGUAACGCGUGGGAACCUGCCCUUAGGUUCGGAAUAACUCCCCGAAAGGGGUGCUAAUACCGGAUAAUGUCUUCGGUCCAAAGAUUUAUCGCCUUUGGAUGGGCCCGCGUUGGAUUAGCUAGUUGGUAGGGUAAAAGCCUACCAAGGCGACGAUCCAUAGCUGGUCUGAGAGGAUGAUCAGCCACACUGGGACUGAGACACGGCCCAGACUCCUACGGGAGGGAGCAGUGGGGAAUAUUGGACAAUGGGCGAAAGCAUGAUCCAGCAAUGCCGCGUGAGUGAUGAAGGCCUUAGGGUUGUAAAGCUCUUUUACCCGGGAUGAUAAUGACAGUACCGGGAGAAUAAGCGCCGGCUAACUCCGUG
rnacentral:rRNA from 1 species